rnacentral:rRNA from 1 species
UACGGGGGGGGCAAGCGUUGUUCGGAAUUACUGGGCGUAAAGGGCUCGUAGGUGGCCAACUAAGUCAGACGUGAAAUCCCUCGGCUUAACCGGGGAACUGCGUCUGAUACUGGAUGGCUUGAGUUUGGGAGAGGGAUGCGGAAUUCCAGGUGUAGCGGUGAAAUGCGUAGAUAUCGAGAGGAACACCAGUGGCGCAAGCGGCUGACUGGCCGAGACCUGACGCUGAGACACGACGGCGUGGGGAGCAAACCGG